rnacentral:lncRNA from 1 species
GGUCUAAAUUCAAUACCAUUGUAAAUAGAAUCAAUUUGGUUAUCUUUUAUGGACAGCUUUUUUCAUUAUGACUCUUACAUCAAUAACUAAACCGACAUGAAAUUUUGUCGAUUAUUUAUUAAAACUUAUAUAAGUCUUUCAAAAUUUUGAUAAUAGCAAGAUAUCUUAGAUCAGCUCCAAAAUCUAAACUUUAUCUUGAAAUAAUCAAUGCACACC